rnacentral:sRNA from 1 species
UAAAGACGGAUCAUCA